AUGGUGGUGUUUGUAAAAAGUGUUCAUGGUCAGACACUGACUGAGUCUGGACCAGUGGUUAAAAAGCCUGAAGAAUCCCACAAACUGGCCUGUACAGGCUCUGUGUUUACUUUCAGUAGCUUCUGCAUGGCUUGGAUCAGACAGGUUCCCGGGAAAGGACUAGAAUUUAUGGCAGCAUAUUAUAACAGCACAAAUAUUGCCUCCUCCCAGUCUGUUCAGGGUUGGUUCAUCAUCUCCAGAGACAACAGCAAGCAGCAGGUGUAUCUCCAGAUGAACAGCCUGAAGACUCUGCUGUUUAUUAUUGUGCCAGAGACACAGUGA